CCCUUGACGUUAGCGGCGGACGGGUGAGUAACACGUGGGUAACCUACCUAUAAGACUGGGAUAACUUCGGGAAACCGGAGCUAAUACCGGAUAAUAUUUCGAACCGCAUGGUUCGAUAGUGAAAGGUGGUUUUGCUAUCACUUAUAGAUGGACCCGCGCCGUAUUAGCUAGUUGGUAAGGUAACGGCUUACCAAGGCGACGAUACGUAGCCGACCUGAGAGGGUGAUCGGCCACACUGGAACUGAGACACGGUCCAGACUCCUACGGGAGGCAGCAGUA
rnacentral:rRNA from 1 species